rnacentral:rRNA from 1 species
AACGAACGCUGGCGGCAUGCCUAACACAUGCAAGUCGAACGAAGGCUUCGGCCUUAGUGGCGCGCGGGUGCGUAACGCGUGGGAAUCUGCCCUUUGGUUCGGAAUAACAGCUGGAAACGGCUGCUAAUACCGGAUGAUGACGAAAGUCCAAAGAUUUAUCGCCAGAGGAUGAGCCCGCGUUGGAUUAGGUAGUUGGUGGGGUAAAGGCCUACCAAGCCGACGAUCCAUAGCUGGUCUGAGAGGAUGAUCAGCCACACUGGGACUGAGACACGGCCCAGACUCCUACGGGAGGCAGCAGUGGGGAAUAUUGGACAAUGGGCGCAAGCCUGAUCCAGCAAUGCCGGGUGAGUGAUGAAGGCCCUAGGGUUGUAAAGCUCUUUUACCCGGGAAGAUAAUGACUGUACCGGGAGAAUAAGCCCCGGCUAACUCCGUG